ACUAGGAAUGGAAGGGGUGACUCUGCUUCUCCAUACUCAGUGCUUACAACAGUGAUACCAAGGACAGUGAUAACAGGAAUGACUGGUUGUAUAAUGACAUAAUUUAAGCCAUGUCCAAAUGUCCAAUGGUCCCGUAACACUAGGAGUGGAAGGACUGACACUUUGCCUCCUUGUACACAGUGCCUAUGAAAGUGAUACUGAGGACUAGUUGUAUAGGGGCAUAAGACUCCUACCUGUCCACACAUACCCCUUUCUGCUGCCUCUGCCUCCUAACACAGUGCUUAUAAUACAGUUUCCGAUGGCAGAGCAGUAACAGCAGUAAUACUAAUGUUGUAAGGGUGGACUAUAUUACAUCUACCCUGCUGCCUCUGCCUCCUAACACAGUGCUUAUAAUACAGUUUCCGAUGGCAGAGUGGUAACAGCAGUAAUACUAAUGUUGUAAGGGUGGACUAUAUUACAUCUACCCUGCUGCCUCUGCCUCAUUCAUGCUUAUUACACAGCGCCAUAGAGUGUCCGCCAUAUGACCCUGCAGUUGUGGCUCCAAGAAUUGAGUGCCAUAGAGUGUUAUGUAAGGGGAAUUUAGUGUUUUCAGAGUUUAUUUUGUUGAGAGGAAUCUAAUGCUUCAAAGAGUAUUCCAUCUAGUACUGUUUUCAAAGUCAUAGUUAUAGUUUCUGAAUAUUACUGUUUUGGAGGAGUUUAAUCCAUCAACUACCUGUGGAAAUAUUAAAAAGACUAAAAUAUCACCCAUCAUAGGCAUUCCACAGUCAAUUUUAAGAGAAUAUCGCUUUCAAAGAGUGUAUUCCAUCACCAACCCCGUGUGUGGAAAUUUUAAAAGACCAGAAUAGCACCCAUCCAAAACAUAACAGGGCAUUAGUUUAUUUCAUCACCAACGCCCUGUAUGGAAAUUUUAAAAGACCAGAAUAGCACCCAUCCAAAACAUAACAGGGCAUUAGUUUAUUUCAUCACCAACGCCCUGUAUGGAAAUUUUAAAAGACCAGAAUAGCACCCAAUCAGAGCAUUCCCACAGUCUCAUCUUCUGAAGCAUGGCAAGCACUGACGAGGCAACAGGUAGCAGGCUCCUUACUUAUCUAGCACUGCCGGGUCUAUUGUUUUGCCCCCUUGGUCGUGCUGGCCGUGAGUGUCAGGGCGCCAGUCACCACCCCACACUGACGCCGGCUGCUGCAUGCAAUCUGACUCACCACUGCGUUAGUCACUUUGUGCUUAUCAAUUUUUCUUUCAGCAGCUAAAGGGGUGACUCAAGGGAGAGGGUUUCAGUAAGGAUGGGAGAUGCUGUAGUCAACGCCACCCAGCUGUUAGUCCGUUUACGCCCCACCCGAAAUUGACCUCUGUUUUGGCUACUCUUUUAUCUUUUAUAGGAGCGGUGAAUAGCGGCUUUUUUUUUCUUCUGUACUCUUUUUGUUGCCCUUGAGCCGUGUCUGAUGUAAUAAAUAAAUAAAUAAAUAAAUAAAUCACUCCCUUGCCCUCUGUCACAAGUUGCAAUGGUCAAUAUUCUUAUCAGUUUUCUUUCAGCAGCUAAAGGGGUGACUCAAGGGAGAGGGUUUCAGUAAGGAUGGGAGAUGCUGUAGUUGUCGCCACCCAGCUGUUAGUCCGUUACGCCCCACCCCUUCCCUCCCUUGCCCUCUGUCACAAGUUGCAAUGAUCACUACUCUCACGGACAUAUUCCAGCUCUCAUUCACUAAAAAAUAUCAGUUAUCAUCCACCCAAAAACUAAUGGCAGCUUUUAAACUGUUUUUCACUUUUAUUUUAUUACACAAACAUCCAUACCUCACUUCCAUUUAGUCUUUUCUUGGUAUCCUUACUCCAUAUCAUUACAAACAAAGAGAAACAGAGUGUUGAAGGUGUCAAUUAACCCGGUAGCAGCAGGGAUCAUGUUUCUUAAUGGUCCCUCCAAGCGAGAAAAAUGAGAAAAAAAUCACCCCUCACACAAACCAUUUCAUAAUAUAUAUCAACGCAUUUGUGAUCAGAUUAUGUAUCAUCUACUUUGGGGGGUUUAUAUCAUGGCACAAAUUUGGCCCGUCGCUGGUACACGGUAAAGCCACAAAUUUGGGCCGUCGCUGCUACCAGGUUAACAUGUAAAGGGGUUCAUAUAAAGCUUGUAGGGAAUGGUUGACUCUGGCUACUGACAUCAUUUCAAGGUACUAUGUCAAAUGAAUUGCCUUAGAGGAGAAAGCUGGUAAUAUGGAGGUCACUUAACCUCACUAUCUCUUUACAUUAAUAAGGCAACUUGGGUAUCAUUAUUGGAUUGAUUGUUGCAAGGUAUAGGUCAUUUCUUCCACCAUAGAACAAAAACACUAUUAUAAUUGCUUCGCUGUGGACUAUUGCAAGGUUGAGGUCAUUUCUUCUGUCAUAUAACAAAAAAUAACUUCAAUAUGGACUGUUUUAAGGUUCAGGUCAUUUCUUCCACAUUAUAACAAACACUAAUGUCAAUAUGGACUCUGGGAAGGGGUAGAGCGCAUAGGACAACUGGGCGGCAGCGACUACAGCACUUAACAAAACACAAACUCUGAUGGAUAAAUUUUAAGGUGUCGGGUUGUGGUGUAUAUGGUACUGAAUCCUCCCUUAAUCAACUUACAUUUCCACCCACUUUGAUUAACUCUCCGUCUUCUAACACAGUCUCUCCCGCACUCAACAGGUUUUCUUUGAUUUGAGUGCUGAAUCCCCCCCUUAA